rnacentral:rRNA from 1 species
CAUGUAGGCGGACUAACAAGUUAGGGGUGAAAUCCCGGGGCUUAACCUCGGAACUGCCUUUGAUACUGUUAGUCUAGAGUUCGUGAGAGGAUAGUGGAAUACCCAGUGUGGAGGUGAAAUUCGUAGAUAUUGGGUGGAACACCAGUGGCGAAGGCGACUAUCUGGCGCGAUACUGUCGCUGAGGUGCGAAAGCGUGGGGAGCAAACA